rnacentral:rRNA from 1 species
AUUGAACGCUGGCGGCAUGCUUUACACAUGCCAGUCGAACGGUAACAGGCCUUCGGGUGCUGACGAGUGGCGAACGGGUGAGUAAUACAUCGGAACGUACCCAGAGGUGGGGGAUAACGCAGCGAAAGCUGUGCUAAUACCGCAUGUGAUCUGAGGAUGAAAGCGGGGGACCGAGCAGCAAUGUUUGGCCUCGCGCCUUUGGAGCGGCCGAUGUCGGAUUAGCUAGUUGGUGGGGUAAAGGCCUACCAAGGCGACGAUCCGUAGCUGGUCUGAGAGGACGACCAGCCACACUGGGACUGAGACACGGCCCAGACUCCUACGGGAGGCAGCAGUGGGGAAUUUUGGACAAUGGGCGCAAACCUGAUCCAGCAAUGCCGCGUGCGGGAAGAAGGCCUUCGGGUUGUAAACCGCUUUUGGCAGGAACGAAACGGUGUCCGCUAAUACCGGGCGCUAAUGACGGUACCUGCAGAAUAAGCACCGGCUAACUACGUG